ACAUGCAAGUCGAGCGGACUUNGAUCGGAGUGCUUGCANUCCUGAGAGUUAGCGGCGGACGGGUGAGUAACACGUAGGCAACCUGCCCUCGAGACUGGGAUAACUACCGGAAACGGUAGCUAAUACCGGAUAAUUUAUUUCNCAGCAUUGUGGAAUAAUGAAAGACGGAGCAAUCUGUCACUUGGGGAUGGGCCUGCGGCGCAUUAGCUAGUUGGUGGGGUAAUGGCUCACCAAGGCGACGAUGCGUAGCCGACCUGAGAGGGUGAACGGCCACACUGGGACUGAGACACGGCCCAGACUCCUACGGGAGGCAGCAGUAGGGAAUCUUCCGCAAUGGGCGAAAGCCUGACGGAGCAACGCCGCGUGAGUGAUGAAGGUUUUCGGAUCGUAAAGCUCUGUUGCCAAGGAAGAACGUCUUCUAGAGUAACUGCUAGGAGAGUGACGGUACUUGAGAAGAAAGCCCCGGCUAACUACGUGCCAGCAGCCGCGGUAAUACGUAGGGGGCAAGCGUUGUCCGGAAUUAUUGGGCGUAAAGCGCGCGCAGGCGGUUCUUUAAGUCUGGUGUUUAAACCCGAGGCUCAACUUCGGGUCGCACUGGAAACUGGGGGACUUGAGUGCAGAAGAGGAGAGUGGAAUUCCACGUGUAGCGGUGAAAUGCGUAGAUAUGUGGAGGAACACCAGUGGCGAA
rnacentral:rRNA from 1 species